AGAGUUUGAUCAUGGCUCAGGACGAACGCUGGCGGCGUGCCUAACACAUGCAAGUCGAACGGGGCUAGGGAAGCUUGCUUCCUGAUGCCUAGUGGCGGACGGGUGAGUAACGCGUGAGUAACCUGCCUCUCAGAGGGGAAUAACGUUCUGAAAAGAACGCUAAUACCGCAUAAUGURCAGUUACCGCAUGGUAGCAGUACCAAAGGAGCAAUCCGCUGAGAGAUGGACUCGCGUCCGAUUAGCUAGUUGGUGGGGUAAAGGCCUACCAAGGCGACGAUCGGUAGCCGGACUGAGAGGUUGAACGGCCACAUUGGGACUGAGACACGGCCCAGACUCCUACGGGAGGCAGCAGUGGGGGAUAUUGCACAAUGGGGGAAACCCUGAUGCAGCAACGCCGCGUGUGGGAUGAAGGUUUUCGGAUUGUAAAUCACUGUUCUUGGUGAAGAUAAUGACGGUAACCAAGGAGAAAGCUCCGGCUARCUACGUGCCAGCAGCCGCGGUAAUACGUAGGGAGCAAGCGUUGUCCGGAUUUACUGGGUGUAAAGGGUGCGUAGGCGGCUAGGCAAGUCAGACGUGAAAACCAUGGGCUCAACCUGUGGACUGCGUUUGAAACUGUUUAGCUUGAGUGAAGUAGAGGUAGGCGGAAUUCCCGGUGYAGCGGUGAAAUGCGUAGAGAUCGGGAGGAACACCAGUGGCGAAGGCGGCCUACUGGGCUUUAACUGACGCUGAGGCACGAAAGCAUGGGUAGCAAACAGGAUUAGAUACCCUGGUAGU
rnacentral:rRNA from 1 species